AGAGUGUUCGAGCUAAAAGUUCAAAACAAGAGCCCCUUUCUGCAGUUUGGCGGCUCGCUCCACCUCCUGUGGUCGUCACGGCAGCAGGAAGUGCACAAACGGAACAGCCUGAUUUGAACCACAGGCCCUCGCUGAAUGCCGAGGCCUCAGGAAACCAGUCAGACAAAGGCAACGAGAAGGGGCUGUCGAGAACAAGGGUGACACGAGAGACAGAGACAAAUAUAAGUGGUAGUUUCAAAGUGGCGCCAUCAGCUAAAUCUGUUUUUGUUUCGUUUGUCCAGAGUCUUAGGUUUUUUAGACACAAACAAAAAAAUAAAAAUGCACCUCCACCACCUCCUAACGAGCCGGGAGCUGCACCUCCGACCUCAUUUUUAGCGUUUAAAUUUGCAGGAUUUGGAAACCGUUUCGGAAAACCAAAAGGCCCGAGGAGUCACCCUGAGUCUUGGUUCUGAGGCAGCCACCGCUCUCUGAGCAUCAGCGCUGCUGCUGUUUGGGGACUCGAGACAUUAGGACGUUCCGCAGACACGAGAGGCACCAAAGGUCUCGUCUCUGUCCUCGUCUCGAGCAGCCGAGAACAAACAGGAAGUGCCUUGCCACCUGCCUUCAGCCUUUUGUACUGCACGUGAACUGAAGUUGAUUUUUUUGCUUGACCAAGGCCUCAUUGGACAAUAUGUCUCUCUAUAGAAUAAUGUUCCGUUUAACUUGAUAAAUAUAUUUACUUAGCUAUAUAUAUAUAUAUAUUUGGUUGUGUAUGUGUGUGUUUGUGAUUUUGACAUGAUAUAAGAAAACGGGUUGAACAGGACACGACGUGAACCUCAUGUGCUUUUCUGGAUUCUUUUAAAUGAUUUUAAAAGCACAUUCUUCUUAAAGAAUCAUCAACAUGUGAAUUAAACGAUUUUUGUGAAUGUGAUGCAUAUUGAAUAUGCAUUUAAUGUAACGGUCUUAAAUAAACGAGUUACACACAAAAGUAUUUAUUAAAAAAUAUAGAAAGUCAA